rnacentral:lncRNA from 1 species
UCCUUCAAUUCGACGUCACGAUUUUCGUCGACGCAAACAGUUUGACAGUUCUCUUCAGCUGGUCUUGUUUGGACUUGAUUGCAACCGAAUCGAACCCGUUAUUGUUGAUGUUGGGCUUCGGAAGGAUUUUGACCGGUUGAUAGAUAUUCAGAAUUCGGUCUUCGUGGCGGUGGAGGAGGAGGACGAGACGCAUGAAUCCGGCGGGCCAGGUCUUCGUGGCGGAAGACGGGACCGGAAGGAACCGAGCUUAUGGAGGAUAUGGUUCAUUCCAAAGGAGGAGGAGGAUGAAACACCGAGUGUCAAAAGUUCUACCCAAGGUAAGCAAAAAUUUUCCAAUCUGAUCCUGCUAACAAACCAGCGUCUUUGUGUUGUCCCACGCAGUUUGUUGAACGGAAGCUGUAACGACCGCAUAAACAUCUGCUCCGGAAGUACGUAAACCGACGUU